UACAGAGGUCUCAACCGUUGUUCGGAAUUACUGGGCGUAAAGGGUUCGUAGGUGGCUUGCUAAGUCAGACGUGAAAUCCCUCAGCUUAACUGGGGAACUGCGUCUGAUACUGGCGAGCUUGAGUGCAGGAGAGGAACGCGGAAUUCCAGGUGUAGCGGUGAAAUGCGUAGAUAUCUGGAGGAACACCGGUGGCGAAGGCGGCGUUCUGGACUGCAACUGACACUGAUGAACGAAAGCCAGGGGAGCAAACGGG
rnacentral:rRNA from 1 species